rnacentral:lncRNA from 1 species
ACUUCAAUGACAGAAAAAUUGCUUCUUCAAUUUGUGACUUCAAUUUCGUUGUCGCUGUAAUCUCCCCAGCACUUGCCUCCUCCUUUCUCUUCAGAUAUCUCUUGUGCUGUGGUUUUCUCUUCACCUUCUGUCGAGUGUCCAUUUUCAGGUGCUUCUUGUGCAAUGACUUCUUCAUCCUCUGCAGCUUUCUUCUCCUUGUUGCUCUCUUCUUCACCUCCACUCUUCUCCUCAGCGAUUUCAGUAGCCAGUGGUGCAGCUAUAGUAUGUCCAUUCUGAGGCGGUACAGGUAUGUUACACGGAUAUGCACCUUCUGCUACUGGCGACAACGGGUACCCAUUCUGUGUUAUUUCCGUCCCAUUUGGUGAUCCCAAAUAUCCGUUUGGUGACACUGGAUAACCAUUAGAAACCCAUGGUUGACUCGGUAUG